UUACUUAUUAGACGCCGGGUUCAGGGCGAUCAGCAAGGCUCCGACACCAGGUGGAGGCUCAGCAUUGCACUCAGCUGUGUUGAAGCCUGCGACGGACACUAAAUGGGUUCGCUCGGACACUGGGUGCUGCGUUUUUGCCAGUGUGGAGCCUUUGAGCAUCCCUU
rnacentral:snRNA from 15 species